GCCGUCACCCCCUCACCCUUAUAUCUCCCAUCUCCGGCGCCACCUCAUUCUGAUGCUCCUUAUCCGCCGCCGACGAUCAGAUAGAGUCUCAAAUGGCGCCGCCUGCUGCCUCACCAUCGAAGAAGCCAUCGUGGCUUUGCUGCCGGCGAAGACAUGUCUCGCUACUGUUUCGUUGUCGACCCCUCGCACUCCCACAGUUGAAGACGGAGGCGCCGCUAGCCGGUGGUCAAUGGUGCUUCAGUCCAAGGUGGUCUCUGCUCAUCCUCCUCACCCGUUCUCCUGUUGCUAUUUCCUAUUCGUGACCGCUAGCCACUGCCGUUAGAUGUCAUUGUAGCCGCCUUCUAGUGCCGUUGUCUCCUCCGUACACCACCGUGAGGUGGGUGGUUGUGUUUAUCUCCGAGCAAGGACGUGAGGGUGUGGCUGGUGUAGUCCCCAAGCGGGUUUGGAUGUUGUUGUAUUGUGCUAAUUUUCGUGUGUGUGUGGGUUCUGUCGAAUAGUUGCUGUGAAGAACCACUAUGGCAUCCGGCCAUGGUGGCUGCCACCUCAAGGACCACAAUAGCGGUUGUGUAUGCUAAUUUCGGGAAUCUGUCAGCCAGCAGCUGGGGUCGAGUCUGCAGGACUUCAGCAAGUGAGGGAUUGUGUCUUCGGGACUUCAGCAGUGUGAGGUACUUCGUGUCUAAAGGAAAGGAGUCGGCUUGAUCGCAGCGCAUCACACUAUGGUUUUCCGCACAUGAGAUCUUUGGGAUUACACUAUGAUAUUGUUUUAUGAUAACACGUUUGAUUAUUUCUACUUUGGUUUUGACAUGAGAUAUGAAUAUGAAUGUUUUAUUACUGAUGGUUUUAUAUUAUAACUUAAUCAAAACGAAAUUUUUGGCCUGUAUUUUUGGGAUGUUACACUUUGUGUGACUUCCAAUCCGACCUGGUACACAGCAUAUGCAAUCUUCUACUUCUCAAUCCCUCUUAAACAAUAAGUAGUAGAAAUCUGAAUCUGUCCUCUCUAUGAAUGAUUGUCUGAUCACCCGGUAUAAGGAGUACUCUGGAAGUUCUUGAUGGCUGGGCCAUAUCAGGAAGCGGGAAACACGUUCUAGUACACUUAAAAUUAAACACAUACAGAUUGUCUGUAGAUCUCGCUGCUCGAUUUAGGUGGACAACAAUAUCCCUGGUUGUAGUCAGUUAAAUGGUCAUAAGAAAAUUUUAUUUAAGAAUUAGGGCCAAUCAUGAUAAUAAAGUUACAAUUAGAUAUAUGCAUGUAUCAUGUCAUUGGUAAAUUGUCCAAAAUUGUCAUAAAUUUUUCAUGUUUAAGUGGACCACAAUACUGGCGAUCGAUCAGACGAAGAUGUGAAGAUAAGGUUACCGACAAGUGGAAUAAGGUUGUCCAACAACUUUGAUCCCAAAUCACUCUUAAAGUUAGAUAUCAUUUUAUUUUUGUUAAGUUUGUUCAUAGUGUUCUUCUAAUUUAAAUGUUAGGGGAGAAAAAAAAUUCAGAAAAUUAAAAAUUAAAAAAAUAGUGUUAUUUCUAUUUUAUUUCUUUUUCAGAAAAUAUGAAAAAUCCAAAAAUAUUUUUGUUUUUGUUUUAAUUUGUGUGUUAAGUUUUUUUUAGUUUUGUUUUGUCUUGAAAAGUGAUUUCAGGUGAAGAUGAAACUCAUGGAGUUUGUGUUGAAUAUUUCUAAGCCAAAGGCUUCGUCCGUGAGCAUCGAAAAAUUCUCAUUCGAAGGAGAAAGAAAUGAAGAUUAUUCUUUCAAAUUCAAUCUUUUAACCCCAAAAGCAAGGUGAAGCUGAAAUUAAAGAUUAUGUGACAUAUUGCAUUGAAGCCUCUCCAAACAGUCUGCUGCUAUCCUUAAACCUGUUGAAACGAACCAGAAGAUUAUUUCUCUCUCAUGUUCUCUCGGAAGAUUCUCAAGCUGAAAGCGCCAUCUUUCAAGAAUCAGUACAAGAAGCCUCCUCACCCAAUGUGCGUUUAGAGUCAAAUCUUGAAGAAAAGUUCAAGUGCUCAAGAUGAUGUCAUUCAUUGAAGAUUCAUGCAGAGCCAAGCUCUCGAUGAAGAUUAACAAGAAAAACCAGCUACUUUUUAGGGGGAGCUUGUUGGGUCAAUUAAGAAAAGAAAGCUAUAAACCAAGGGGGAGAUUGUUCGGUCCAAAUAUGGUUUAUACUUUGCUUUUUUGAGCAAUUAUAUUUUUAUGUAAUAUUUUAUGAGUUUACAGUCUAGUUUAUGGUCAGUGUUUACGGCCGUAAACAGGUUUACGGCUGUAAACCCAUUUACGGCCCAAGUUCAGUUAU